rnacentral:rRNA from 1 species
CUACGGGGUGCUGCAGUGGGGAAUAUUGCACAAUGGAGGAAACUCUGAUGCAGCAACGCCGCGUGGAGGAUGACACUUUUCGGAGCGUAAACUCCUUUUAUAUAGGAAGAAGAUGACGGUACUAUAUGAAUAAGCGCCGGCUAACUCCGUGCCAGCAGCCGCGGUAAUACGGAGGGCGCAAGCGUUACUCGGAAUCACUGGGCGUAAAGAGCGUGUAGGCGGAUUAAAAAGUCAGAAGUGAAAUCCUAUAGCUUAACUAUAGAACUGCUUCUGUAACUCUUAAUCUAGAAUAUGGGAGAGGUAGAUGGAAUUUCUGGUGUAGGGGUAAAAUCCGUAGAGAUCAGAAGGAAUACCGAAUGCGAAGGCGAUCUACUAGAACAUUAUUGACGCUGAGACGCGAAAGCGUGGGGAGCAAACAGGAUUAGAUACCCCUGUAGUC